rnacentral:lncRNA from 1 species
GGGGCCGCGCCCUCGCUGAGAGCCGCGUUCUGCCGGGGCCAGUGACUGCAAGGACAACGUUGCUCUCCUACCUUCCGCGCUCACUGACAUCUAAACCCUUAAAUGACUCCUGCGUUAGUCAGGUAGGAAUGUGGCUUUCCAACUCCAGACCUGGUAUCACAUCGGACAAGAAAACACCAGGUCAGCCCGUUGUAAUCUAGAGGCCAAGACAGCAAGUUCUCUGACAUAAUCAAGAAUGAAUAAUCCUAGGUCGGACUUUGCCUUCCACUGGGCAGAGCACCUUCUCAGGAUCGCGAGUUUCCAAUCCAGACUUGCCCGGUACAAAGCCCAUAUUAGUGUGUUAAGAUGUCCCUGCUCUUGGGAGUUCAUCCCUUCCUGACCAGGCUUGAGGUGUGCAGCGUCAGCCUCAAAGAAGAUUGCAGUGUUUGAAGUCUGUGUGGAGACUAAAGACAAUUGUUAUUCAAACUUAAAAACCUUUUUUUCAAGCAUAUUUUUCGAUAUCCAGUUUAUUAUUGUAAGCAAUUGGGACAGGCUGUCAGCUAGUAGGGGAGGAAGUCCUUAAAUUCGCCAGCACAGCGCUAAACGGAUUGCAUAACUUCCAAAAAGAAAGGAUCUGCGGGGGCCAAAAUUUAGAGAACUGAGUCUAAGUUACAAAGUAUAUCUAAUAAGUCCGGUUUUAUUGCUUUUACAGCAACUGCUUCCUGCUUUAUCUGAAGUCCUAGAGCAGCAACUUGAAUUCUCCAGGCUAAACCUCCACUUCAAAAGCAAAAUAACAGAAAAAGAGAAUUUUAAACCCAAUGAUCUGCAAAAUACAUAUACCCGACAUUCCCCAUUUGGAGUCUAUGCGACAUUUCAGAGUGUGUGUGUACAAAUCUGGUUCCACUUUUCUUGUCCCAAACAUCCCCCAUCCACAGCCUUAAAUGUCCCAAUUAAUAAGACACCAUUAUCACCAUCCAGGUUCCCCAGGGUUCAUCCUAGUAUCUUCUUAAUUUCUUUCUCCUCUAUGCAACAAAGUUUGGUACAGCCUUCUACCUCAACUUUCAAAGUUCUAAUAGAUGUGUAUUCCAGUCCCUACCACCUUUCCUACAGUGAUCAUGGUCCAAAGCACUACAACCCUCUGAUUGCAUUUUUCUAUAGUUAUAUCCCUAGUACCCUUUUUCUUUCUUUCCUUCUUCCUUUCUUUCUUCCUUUCUUUCUUUCUUUCUUUCUUCCUUCCCUCCUUUCUUGUUUCUUUGUUUCUUGUUUAUUUGUUAGUUUGUUUUCCUCUGAGUAGCCCAUUCUCAUGACAGCAGCCGGUGUAAAUGUGCUCCCGUGAGUCACUGCUUAUCUUCCAUGACAUUCAUCCCACAAGCCUAGAACUCUGUGGCCUCAAUGACCCCUGAACCUAGUCCUCCAACCUGUGACCUCUUCUGACCUACUCUCAUAUCCACUAUGUUCCCUACUCAGUUCCUCAGGCACACGAGCUUCCAUGCUGUUUCUAAAGAAAUAAAGCAAAUGUGGAUCUCCUGGCCUUCCAUCUGCUGUUCCUUCUACUGCUGUGUUGGCUCUACCUUUCCCCUUCCACCCACGGAAGAAAAAGAAAACAUAUGUAACAGAUGGAAUGCUGCUUUCCACCUCCUUUGCUCUUCUCUCAUCUUUAUUCAAAUAUCAUCUUCCCCAUGGUUGCGUAGCCUACCUUCCUGGCUUUAUUUAACACCUAACCUGCAUAUUGUAUUUUACUCAUUUUGUAUUUUCUUACUCCACUGUAAUGUCAGCUGUGCACGUCAAUGAUUUUUAUUUUGUUGACCUCUAUACCAACUAGUAUUAUUGGAUGGAUACUCGAAUUACUCAAAUACCUUAUAGUUGUAUGAUAUAUAUUAUUAUCACACCUAUAUGGUGGGAAAAAGGAAGUUGCAAGAGGACACACAAGCCCACUAAGCCUGUCUUCUGUCCUACAGAAAGAAUGCAUUUACUUCGUGCUGAAGAUUUGCAAGUAUCAAAUACAACACAUGCAAAGAUGUUGCACAGUGCUUGAGCCAUAGUAUGAACUCAACAAAUAGUUGUUAUUUUUAAGAUCAUAUUCGUCAUCCCCACCCUUUGAGGUUUGUGGACAGUUAUUAUCAUCCUGUUUACAGAUGGGGAAACUGGCAAUAAAGUGGGCUGUGUGAUUUGCCCUA